CUAAGAGAUUAGGUAUUCCCUUCGGGGACAUAGAGACAGGUGGUGCAUGGUUGUCGUCAGCUCGUGUCGUGAGAUGUUGGGUUAAGUCCCGCAACGAGCGCAACCCUUAUUGUUAGUUGCUACGCAAGAGCACUCUAAUGAGACUGCCGUUGACGAAACGGAGGAAGGUGGGGAUGACGUCAAAUCAUCAUGCCCCUUAUGACCUGGGCUACACACGUACUACAAUGGCCGUUAACAGAGGGAAGCAAAGCCGCGAGGUGGAGCAAAUCCCUAAAAACGGUCUCAGUUCGGAUUGCAGGCUGCAACUCGCCUGCAUGAAGCCGGAAUUGCUAGUAAUCGCGGAUCAGCAUGCCGCGGUGAAUACGUUCCCGGGCCUUGUACACACCGCCCGUCACACCAUGAGAGUUGGCAACACCCGAAGUCAGUAGCCUAACCGCGAGGAGGGCGCUGCCGAAGGUGGGGUUGAUGAUUGGGGUGAAGUCGUAACAAGGUAGCCGUAUCGGAAG
rnacentral:rRNA from 1 species